AUACUUACCUGGCAGGGGACAUACAAUGAUCACAAAGGUGGUUUUCCCAGGGCGAGGCUCCCCCAUUGCACUCCAAGUGUGCUGACCCCUGCAAUUUCCCCAAAUGUGGGAAACUCGACUGCAUAAUUUGUGGUAGUGGGGGACUGCAUUCAUGCUAUCCCCUG
rnacentral:snRNA from 1 species